CAAUAGCGUAUAUUAAAGUUGUUGCAGUUAAAAAGCUCGUAGUUGGAUUUCGGGGUGGCCUGGCUGGUCCGCCGCACGGUGAGUACUGGUCAGCCGCCCUUCCUCUCGAAAGCCCCGACUGCUCUUUACUGCAGUGGUCGGGUAGUUCGGGACGUUUACUUUGAAAAAAUUAGAGUGUUCAAGGCAGGCUAUCGCCUGAAUACAUUAGCAUGGAAUAAUGGAAGAGGACCUCGGUCCUAUUUUGUUGGUUUCUAGGGCCGAAGUAAUGAUUAAGAGGGACAGUUGGGGGCAUUCGUAUUUAAUUGUCAGAGGUGAAAUUCUUGGAUUUAUGAAAGACGAACUAGUGCGAAAGCAUUUGCCAAGGAUGUUUUCAUUAA
rnacentral:rRNA from 1 species